rnacentral:rRNA from 1 species
UACAGAGGUCUCAAGCGUUGUUCGGAUUCAUUGGGCGUAAAGGGCGCGUAGGCGGCUGUUCAAGUCGGGGGUGAAAUCCUGUGGCUCAACCACAGAAUGGCCUUCGAUACUGGACGGCUAGAGACCGGAAGAGGUGAGUGGAACUGCGAGUGUAGAGGUGAAAUUCGUAGAUAUUCGCAAGAACACCAGUGGCGAAGGCGGCUCACUGGUCCGGUUCUGACGCUGAGGCGCGAAAGCGUGGGGAGCAAACAGG